rnacentral:lncRNA from 10 species
CUCGGGAGUAGCCUGACAGGACAGCCUUGCCGGGCAGGAUGCUCUAUGCUGGACAGGAAGCGACUAAACCAAUGACAUUCUCAAGGAGCUUCAAUACUUCCAAGAGUCAGAAAUCAAGAGAGUGAUAUGGAAGCCAAAGGCACACAGAGAAAACUCAACAUGCGGAGGUCAUAAAACAGCAGAAACCACAAGUCACAGAGAAGAGUGGAAACAGAAGACACUCAGUAGCAGGAAAGCUACAAUCCCUAGAGAGACUGAGGAAGGAUAUGCUUAUUCAGGGCUAUGACUGAGUCUCGGGGGACAAGAAUAAAAGUGGAUUUAAACUUGAUUACCUUUGUGAAGAUCCUAUAGCCAAAUAAGGCCACACUGCAAAGUAGUGGGGUUUAGGACUUCAACAUAUGGAUUUUGAGGUGGCAAAAUUCAACCCAUAAUAGUGUCCAACAGUCAGUGUGACUGGUAUCCUUAUAAAAAGGGGAAAUUUGGAGACAGUGUGCUCACAGGAAGAACGCCCUGUUAAGAUGAAGGCAAAGAUUGGGGUGAUGCAUCUAUAAGCCAAGGAACCCCCCAAAUUGCCAGCAAACUACCAGAAGCUAGCGGAGGGCCACAGAGCAAAUUCUCUCUUUCACAAUCCUCAGAAGGAAGCAACCCCAUUGACACUUUGAUCUCAGACUUCUAGCCUGCAGAACUGAGAGACAAUAAAUGUCUGUUACAUCCCCAGUUUAUGAUACAUGGUUAAAACAGCCCUAGCAAACUAACCCAGGCACGGAGCGCUACCGUUGAGUGAGAAACAUCUGCUCUGUUCCUUGAGGCUGACUAUUUGGCUACUGAAAGGCUUUCUGUCUUCUAUCCUCCCGCUCAUGUAUCCCCACAAUAACUCCCAUAACCUCAGACAACCCGAGCCUGUCUGCUCCCUGGAAGCUGAAAGAACUUCAGUAACUCAGUUGGAGUGCAGGCAGCAGUGUUUGGGAAGGAGUAAAUGAAGCAGUUGGAAGCAAAGAAGCUGCUGCUUUGGGAUCCGCAAAUCAGAGGAUCAGGAAAUGUGAAACAACUUUCCUGACAGCUUCAGGGAGUGACAUCCAGGCAGGAACUCGGCGGCUUGGCAGAGCUGGAGGAGGAUAGCAGCGCUCUUUUUCCAACCUGGAAACAGCCCAUUCAGUCAAUAACUCACCUCCAGUGCCUUUUCCUAAAGCAUUUACAGUCAGGAGAACAAAUUCAGAUACCCCAGAAAAUCAAGAAGUCAUGACAAUUAAAGAGUCCUGUACCAGCACAUCCUGUCUUCACUGCCUGCAAAGCUCACCACUCUCUUCUCCAUCCACAAACUCCCAUACUCCUUUGAAGCAGCAGCUGAGCCGCCACAACCUCGAGCCUCUCUCCUGAUCACAGCAUCACAUAGACAAGGCUUCAGUGGAACCAUGACAAUUAGAAUAUUUAUUGAUUGCAGCACUUACAAAAUUUGAAAUAUUUGAAU